GUGUUAUCAUACAAUGUUAAUACUAGAGUUCUUGAUUCACAUUAAGAGUAAGAAUUCACUCUACAUUCAUUUUUGGAAACUUGUGUUAAAAUUCUGCUGCUGCAGAAAGCUGAUGCCUUUCUUGUUUUACUUACCUUCAUACUCUGUGUAUUGAGAAUGGCUUCAUGGCCCAGCAGUGAAAGGAAUACAUGUUCAAUAAAUUUUCAGUAAAUGAGUGGGUCAAUUUGAAAUCCGUGUGGUAACAAGCAACAGACUUCUAAAGCAUCUCACAGUACAAUUUCUAGUUUCUGUUUAAUUUUCUAGUGUCAAUGCAGUGUCAUAUAACAUGGAGCAGAAGGCAAACCUCAGAUAACACGAAUGUGCAGACAUUCAUUUGUAUUUGGUUUAUAAAGUCGUGUCACAGAGGUAGCUCCAGGGUAAAACUGGAAUGCAGAAAAAAUGGGUCAGUUGAGACCCCCAACAUUUCAAAAUGAAGGAGAAAACAAAAUCAACACACUAUCAAGCUAGUAUAAUGUAAGUUAUAUUUUUGGAGAAGAGAAGGCUCCAUAGAAACCUCUUAUCAGCCUUUCAGUAUUUAAAGGAGGCCUACAAGGAUGCUGGAAAGGGACUCUUCAUCAGGGACUGUAGCAACAGGACAAGUAGUAAUGGGCUCAAACUUAAACAGGGGAAGUUCAAGCUAGAUAUAAGGAAGAAAUUCUUUUCUGAGAGGGUGGUGAGGCACUGGAACAGGUUUUCUUCUUGAAAAUGGUGGUUAUAUUUCCCCUUUUCCAGUCAUCAGGAACUUCAUCUGACUGCCAUGAUUAACUUGUAGAGGAAGCCCCAGCAGGGAAUUCACCACCAUUCCCAGCCAACUUGGAAACCUGGAUGAGAAAUGGCACAAUUAGAAUAAGAAAACAAAAUUUUCUGUGUGGUUGCUUAAGCUUGCUUCAAACAUGUAUGUCUCAGUUGUGUGUGGGCCAAGCAUGAAUGGAACAUCAACCAGGCCUCCUCAACUCAAGCUCCACCUGCCCUGCCCCUGCAUGUGCCACUAAGGGAAAAAGUACUCGUUCUAAGAAGAAAUUUAUGUCUGUAUUUUCUGGAUUACAGAGACUUGCUAUUUCCAGG